CCAGUGUUGCAUGCGUGUCGUCAGCUCGUGUCGUGAGAUGUUGGCUUAAGUCCCGCAACGAGCGCAACCCUCAUCCUUAGUUGCCAUCAGGUAAUGCUGGGUACUUUAAGGAAACUGCCAGUGAUAAGCUGUAGGAAGGUGGUGAUGAUGUCAAGUCAUCAUGGCCUUUAUGGGGUGGGCUACACACGUGCUACAAUGGUGUCUACAAUGGGUUGCAAGGUGCUCUAGCUGGCAGUUUCCUCUAAGAGACAUCUCAUUUCGGAUUGUACUCUGCAACUCGAGUAGCUCUCGUUGCGAUCGUUAACCCAACAGCACAGCAUGGCGCGGACGACAGCUUCUCGAGACUUGUAUAAAAUCCGCGUCACGCCAUGGGAAUUG
rnacentral:rRNA from 1 species